rnacentral:lncRNA from 1 species
AGAAUUGCUUGCCACAGGUGAUCAUUGUGAAGCUUCGAAAAUAUAUUCAAUCCCUUAUGGCAUCUGUUUUUGCCAAUUGAAUCGCCCUCGGGAAACAGAGUCCUAAAACCAGGAAAGCAGCCCACAGGUAGAAUUCCAGAAACCAUGAGUGUUUUGGCUCCAGCUUCGUUGAUGAGUCUCUCUAUUGAAUUCUUAAUUGUCUCCACCACUUCAGGGACGAGAAGGGACGCCUCAGAAAUAGAUUUUCCAUGUAAGAAGGCAUGCUUGUAAUCGUUGAUGCCGGGUUGAUCCAUAAAGAUGAGCGCCUUCGGAAGAAGCUUGUUAUUUCUGCCGCAGUCAUGAAAAGAGAAGCAAUCUUCAUAGAAGAACCUCAUGAAGGUAGAAAUCUGAGAUAGGUCAUGUGACUGUAGAGGCGCUGGGAUGCCAUUCUUGAGGAAGAAAAAAUCUUCAUAAAAGAACCUCAUGAAGGUAGAAAUCUGAGAUCGGUCAUGUGACUGUGGAGGCGCUGGGAUGCCAUUCUUGAGGAAGAAAAAGGGCUCCAUGAAAGUCGCUCUGGGCGUCGCAAAACUCAGGCCAGACUCGAAGAAUUCAGUGCCUCGUUGAGUGUA